rnacentral:lncRNA from 1 species
CACCGAUGGAGGCCUUGAGCCGCUCCUGCCAUGCUCCGCGACCUCGGGGACAGAACUUUCCCCAAACCCGGUGAGGGCAGAGGCUCCAAGGUCCGCCACAGCGCGCGCAGGCGCGCGUCCUCCUCUGUGCCCCGGACGGCGCUGCGCUCCCGGGGCGCGGACCCGAGAUCCUCCCGCGAGUCCCGGCCACAUCCGAAGCUGCGGGGAGUACUGCCUGAGCUAGGCGGCCGGACCUGGGCCUCUGGCCUCAAGAAGCUGGCACCAUAGUUCUGAACUCAGGGACCACGGUUGUUCCAGCAUCACCCUGCAAAAGAGGAAAUGGAGGGAGAGUGGAAAGGGACAAUUGUCUACUGUAGCAAAUCACAUUCUUUCUCACAAAUUUUCAAAAACUGCAUGAUCCUGUGAACACAUCACCAGGAAUUGCUUACAGGGCCUUGGAAGAGGCCGGUGCAGGUCCUGUCACCACUGUUGCUAACCCUACUCUACUCAGCUGAACUGCUGGUGUAUCCAUAAAGUGUUUAUGAAUGGAUUGAACUGCCGUUGCCUGCUGAACAGUGAACAGAUCUGCUGAUUUCCAGACAACACAGACGGGAGUUGCUCCAAAGAACCUUUCUAAACAGAGGACAGCUUUGCUGAGCAUUGCAUUCUAAAUUGAUGAGGAGUUUUUCCAACCUUUUAAACAUGACUCUCAUCUUCCUGGUGCCAUCUCUGUGUA